UACGUAGGGACCAAGCGUUGUUCGGAUUUACUGGGCGUAAAGGGCGCGUAGGCGGCUUAACAAGUCACUUGUGAAAUCUCCGGGCUUAACUCGGAACGGCCAAGUGAAACUGUCAAGCUAGAGUGCAGAAGGGGCAAUCGGAAUUCUUGGUGUAGCGGUGAAAUGCGUAGAUAUCAGGAGGAACACCGGUGGUGUAAACGGCUUUCUGGACCGUAACUGACGCUGAGGCACGAAAGCGUGGGUAGCAAACAGG
rnacentral:rRNA from 1 species